rnacentral:tRNA from 8 species
GCCCUCGUAGCUCAGGGGAUAGAGCACCGCUCUCCUAAAGCGGGUGUCGCAGGUUCGAAUCCUGCCGAGGGCG